ensembl:lncRNA
GGGUCGCAGCUGGCGGGCGGCCAGGGGCCGCGGCGGCGCGGGGCAGGGGUAUGGAGAGCUAACCCGGCCCGUUCGGCUUUUUCUUUCGUUUUCUUUCGUUUCGUUUCGUUUCUCUCGCCGGUAACGGGCGGGCAGCGGCCGAACGGAGCCGCCAGGCCACCGUGCUGGCGGGUAACGCACCGAGCGAGUGGGCCGCUGUCCGCCGAGCCGCUCCACGCCGAGAGUUCCCCCGGGCCCAGAGCUGCGCCUCGGCCCCACCGAACGCACCGGACUCGGAUCGGCGCCGAGGCGAGGCGGCGGGGACCCGGGCGCACGGCGGGCAGGUGAGUGUCGGUACCUCUCUCGGGUCGGUACCGGGCGGCGGCUCCGCCAUUUACCGGCCGUGGCGGUACCUUCGUUUCCCUGCGUCCCACCGCUCCGACCUCAACGGCGAAACGCAUUUACCGGCGGCGCAGCCCCGGGAAGAGGGCCCACGUCCCGCGCAGAUGGCCGCAGUUCGGUUUCUGCCGGUCCCCUUCGCCCGGCGGACACGGAGGCGGCCCGGGAGCACCGCAUCGUUCCCCACCGCGCCGCCUUGAAACCCGCGCAGCGAUUGCGGCGGAUCGCUCCCUGCCCGCUCCCGGGGCCGCCCUCCCUUCUCCUGUCCUCGGACCGCCCGGUUCCGACCGCGCACCGGGAAACGCUGUCGCCAUAACCGGGUUUCAGGGGGCCCGACUCAGCGCUCGGCGCUGUCCCGUGUCGCCGGUGCGCGGAGAGAAGCCCCGCGCUGCCGCGGCCCCGGUAACGAUUAGCGCCGUUCCGGUGUUCCGUCCGCCGCCGGCUUCGUCCCGCUCACGACUCGCGGCUCCCGGGGAGGUGCGGG